rnacentral:lncRNA from 10 species
AGUUACAGAAAGAACCCACUGCAGGGCGUCCAGUCACUUGCCCAGUGAAAAGACUGUAAUCAGACAACUUUAAUAAAGGGAGAGCAGGAGAGUGGUGACGAAUUUCCACAUUCCGAACAAGCUUGUCGAAAGAGGAGUGCAGGGAAGGAGCAAGAAUGAGGCACUGGAAGACGGCUGUAGGCGCAUGAUGUCACAAGUUAUUGGAAGAAAUCCCUCCAACCUAGGUUGGGACAGAUGAAGGCGGCGCUUAUUGGUGUUCACCAAAACACCAGCAUGGUGUACCAGCUUUGGCUAGAUGAUGCUCAGCUCUUGUCUCACCUCCCAGAAGAAUCA